rnacentral:rRNA from 1 species
GUGUCAGCAGCCGCGGUAAAACGUAGGAGGCGAACGUUAUCCGGAUUUACUGGGUGUAAAGCGCGUGCAGGCGGUAGGGUAAGAUGCUUGUGAAAGCGCCCGGCUCAACCGGGCGAGGACGAGCAAGACUGCCAAACUGGAGGCGGGUAGAGGCGUAUGGAAUUCCGGGUGUAGUGGUGAAAUGCGUAGAGAUCCGGAGGAACACCAGUGGCGAAGGCGAUACGCUGGGCCUGGCCUGACGCUAAGACGCGAAAGCAUGGGGAGCGAACGGGAUUAGAAACCCCAGUAGUCC